UAACGUUAUAAACUACCUUCCGGUAGCGCCGCCAUCUUAGACUCAGGAGAGAGUAUUAGCGUAAGUGUACGCACUUUUCUUAGUGACGUAUGACAAAUUCGGAGGGCGGGGGCACAGAGCAGCAGCAGAGAAACUCUGUACGCUGCGUAAGCUCUCAUCCUGAAUGCGGAUCCGAUCACUCCAAGAUGGCGGCGCUACCGGAAGGUAGUUUAUAACGUUAAUAACAUUUUAAAUAUGGAUAUUUCUACAACAACACCGCACGGAUUACCCACAGAAGACCUUUGUUUAUCAUCCUGGAGCCGUUUGGAUUUAAUUUGUGAAGGAUGGACGCACUUUUUUUGGACUUGAAGGUCGUGGACUAUUGCUGGACCCCGUCACAUUACAUUUAAUCAACUGAAAGAUAUAAAAUAUUUUCUAAAAUAUCCGAAAAUGUGUUUGUCUGAAAAACGAUGGACAUAUGCAACUCGGACAGCUUGGGGUCUUUAGAUUCUGUGAGUGUGCUGAACGUUGACUUCUAUCACAAUGUUGCGCAUCUGCCUGAUUAUCUCUGUAGUUUGUGCUACAGGCACUACAAUGCCUUUACCUGAUCUAUUCUCAUACUCACCUGCUGUCGGGGGUGGAAGUGGAACUGAAUUUACCACUGCAAAUGAGGGAUGUAUUACUGGAAUUAAAAUUUGGGAAUACCCUAGCAACUAUAUAUAUGGGCUCCAGCUGAAAUAUGACACAAACUGGACGACAACUAUUGGUUCAGAGAAUGGUAAUCCACAGGUGAUGGAAUUCUAUGAGAAAGAAUACAUCACUCAGAUCUCUGGAAAGUACGACGCGAGUUACAUCUAUGAGCUCAUCUUUGUCACCAAUCUGGGGCGAUUUUUAAAAGUGGGGCAGUCUAGUGGUAACUCAUUUAACAUUUACCCAGCCCAAAGAGGGAGUGAUUUGCGCUUUCUCAGCAUUCGAACCAAUGGAUGGGCCAUCACGUCUAUUGGGGCUCAUUGGUCCGUGAUACGUAACUGCGACAUGUCUGUGAACACAGCUAUAAAAAAAGUCUAAUUUUUUAGCAUGGAAAUGAAUAGUUAAUUCUAUUUACUCUCAUUUAUCAUACUUGUAGCUAUAUUUGUUUUCUUUUGUGGUUUAUUGUAUCUUAAUGAUUCUUAUUUAACUUCUGGCAGUUGGUGUAAUUCUGUAAACUCUUUUAUGCAAAGUCUAUUAACAGCAUUAAUUUAAUUGUAUAGUAUGAAUAAACAACUUAAGCAAUAAACAUGUGAACAAAAAUUCCUAAAUUCCAUCAGAAGUCACGGACUAAUAUACAGUUGUCAUUAUGUAAGGUAAAGGUAGUCUAAUCUUUUAUGAGAAUGUAAUGUCUCCUAUGAGGAAACAAUACAAUUUACUGGCAUUUCAGGAUUUUUUCAAAGGCCAGCCAUUUCUCAUCAUUGUCACAUCAUGUGUGGUGACUGUUAUGCCGACUUUGAUGGUUAUCAUUGUAUUUUGUAUUCCUAGACAGCUUGAAAAUAUUUACUGUCGGUCUGGAGCUUGUCAAACAAUAAAAGUGCAUACAACAUGCAUGAACACUACACGUUUUAUUCCCUUUUUGUUCAUUUGUUAGCUGAUAUUUUGCAUUUGUUUCACAACUGUUAAAAUUAGUUAAUGCACAGUGGACUAGCAUGAACAAUUGUACUGGCAAUAACUAACAUUAACUUUAUUGAAC